rnacentral:rRNA from 1 species
CAGCAGCCGCGGGAAUACGUAGGUCCCGAGCGUUGUCCGGAUUUAUUGGGCGUAAAGGGAGCGCAGGCGGUUUAGUAAGUCUGAAGUUAAAGGCAUUGGCUCAACCAAUGUAUGCUUUGGAAACUGUUAGACUUGAGUGCAGAAGGGGAGAGUGGAAUUCCAUGUGUAGCGGUGAAAUGCGUAGAUAUAUGGAGGAACACCGGUGGCGAAAGCGGCUCUCUGGUCUGUCACUGACGCUGAGGCUCGAAAGCGUGGGUAGCGAACAGGAUUAGAUACCCGCGUAGUCCCUGUCUCUUAUACU